GAGUGGCGAACUGGUGAGUAACACGUGGGUAACCUGCCCCGAAGCGGGGGAUAACAUUUGGAAACAAGUGCUAAUACCGCAUAAUUAGUUGGAACCGCAUGGUUCCAACUUGAAAGAUGGCUCUGCUNUCACUUUGGGAUGGACCCGCGCCGUAUUAGUUAGUUGGUGAGAUAAAAGCCCACCAAGACGAUGAUACGUAGCCGACCUGAGAGGGUAAUCGGCCACAUUGGGACUGAGACACGGCCCAGACUCCUACGGGAGGCAGCAGUAGGGAAUCUUCCACAAUGGACGAAAGUCUGAUGGAGCAACGCCGCGUGAGUGAUGAAGGUUUUCGGAUCGUAAAACUCUGUUGUUAAAGAAGAACAAGUGUUAGAGUAACUGUUAACACUUUGACGGUAUUUAACCAGAAAGCCACGGCUAACUACGUGCCAGCAGCCGCGGUAAUACGUAGGUGGCAAGCGUUGUCCGGAUUUAUUGGGCGUAAAGCGAGCGCAGGCGGUUUUGUAAGUCUGCUGUGAAAGCCCUCAGCUCAACUGAGGAAGUGCAGUGGAAACUACAAAACUUGAGUACAGAAGAGGAAAGUGGAACUCCAUGUGUAGCGGUGAAAUGCGUA
rnacentral:rRNA from 2 species